GAUGAACGCUGGCGGCGUGCCUAAUACAUGCAAGUCGAGCGAACAGACGAGGAGCUUGCUCCUCUGACGUUAGCGGCGGACGGGUGAGUAACACGUGGAUAACCUACCUAUAAGACUGGGAUAACUUCGGGAAACCGGAGCUAAUACCGGAUAAUAUAUUGAACCGCAUGGUUCAAUAGUGAAAGACGGUUUUGCUGUCACUUAUAGAUGGAUCCGCGCCGCAUUAGCUAGUUGGUAAGGUAACGGCUUACCAAGGCAACGAUGCGUAGCCGAACUGUGAGGGUGAUCGGCCACACGGGAACGGAGACGCGGUCCAGACGCCUACGGGAGGCAGCAGUAGGGAAUCGUCCGCAAUGGGCGAAAGUUUGACGGAGCAACGGCGCGUGAGUGAUGAAGGUCUUCGGAUCGUAAAACUCUGUUAUUAGGGAAGAACAAAUGUGUAAGGAACUAUGCACGUCUUGACGGUACCUAAUCAGAAAGCCACGGCUAACUACGUG
rnacentral:rRNA from 1 species